UGGGGAAUAUUGGACAAUGGGCGCAAGCCUGAUCCAGCGACGCCGCGUGUGUGAAGAAGGUCUUCGGAUUGUAAAGCACUUUAAGUUGGGAGGAAGGGUUGUAGAUUAAUACUCUGCAAUUUUGACGUUACCGACAGAAUAAGCACCGGCUAACUCUGUGCCAGCAGCCGCGGUAAUACAGAGGGUGCAAGCGUUAAUCGGAAUUACUGGGCGUAAAGCGCGCGUAGGUGGUUUGUUAAGUUGGAUGUGAAAUCCCCGGGCUCAACCUGGGAACUGCAUCCAAAACUGGCAAGCUAGAGUAUGGUAGAGGGUGGUGGAAUUUCCUGUGUAGCGGUGAAAUGCGUAGAUAUAGGAAGAACACCGGUGGCGAAGGCGGCUCACUGGCUCGAUACUGACACUGAGGUGCGAAAGCGUGGGGAGCAAACAGGAUUAGAUACCCGCGUAGUCCCUGAGCGGGCUGGCAAGGCGCAU
rnacentral:rRNA from 1 species